AUUCGUCAGAAACCUUCUUCAUAGGCUUCCCUUCAACAAAACUGGAUUAGCCUUGGCUCAGCACGCAUCCCAGAUACCUUCUUCAAGGGCCAGACGGUGACCAGGCCUGAAAGGGCUCAGGCUGGAGUCAGCAGCCCUGCAACAAAAUCCUUGGAGCUGGAAGAUUCUAUGAGGUGAAGGACCCUGAAUGUAUGGAGACGGUCAAGAAAUUGAUUCAAAGCUUCAGUUAUUAAGGAGUAGGCUGAGGAAGAACCACACAGUACGUUUCUUAGCAGAGAGCUCAGACCUACAGAGGUGCAGAAAGACGGAGGAUGACCCAAAUAAGGAUGUCGACAGAGGAAGAGAGGACACCCGGCCGUCAGGGAGUCUUAGAAAUGACUAGACCUCAGCCGAUGAUCCACAAUGGGGCCAGACAGGAUGGAAGAGACCAAAUCCAAACCAGGACUAUUCCAAACUGGGAAAAGAUCCUCGGCAGCGGCAUCUGGGCUCUCGGAGACCAGACCAGCAUCAGGGUCUCCUAGACUAUGUGGAGAAAAUUGGGAUUGAGUCAGGAAACCCAGACCUGAGAACGCACUGAACACGGCAGAGUGAGGAAGGGGUACAACGCCCUCACCUGGACGGCCACCCUGUGUGUACCAGGUGAUCAACAGGCAGGCCCUGGCCUCCUGGAGUUCCGGGAUAUGAUGAGGUCUGUUGAACUGUAGUCCGUGCAUCUGUCUGGACCUGUGGCCCAUCCGUUCACCUGCCCCAGCCCUGCCCUUUGCCUCUAGUCUCCACAGUCCCACACCUCGCUUCUUCGGCUCAGCUCUGACUGAGUGUCCUGAUGCAGCCACAGCAUCCGCAGGCUGUCUCCAGCAGCUCACUCGCCCUCACACUCUUCCUGCAAUGUACUCUAACGCGGUGGCUCUCAACCGUCCAAUGCCGCGGCCCUUUAAUACAGCUCCUCCUGUUGUGGGGACCCCAACCAUAA